AGAACUCAGAAUCAAAAUGUUCAGAGCGCUGAAAAUAAACACGAGGAGGAGGACUGACGUUUUGAUUAUUUGGACUAAUUGGAAAAGCCGAUGUUCUUCCGGCAUCAAACUUCAGAUUCGAAAAGGGUGGAGUAGCAGAUAUAGUAUUUGGACUUUUAUUGGAAAAUGGUGGAGUGGCAGACAUAGUAUUUGGACUUUUAUUGGAAAAUGGUGGAGUGGCAGACAUAGUAUUUGGACUUUUAUUGGAAGAAUCUUCCGUGGCUUUACCUGGAUUUCCUGAUGAUUCUCUCUUUUCUCUUUCUUCCGUUUCCUUGAGAAGAAAAUCAACCCACAGAUCUGCAAAAGACUGCACGAGAAAACAUAAUAGGACUAAAAUUCAACACAAUUUUCUAAAGCACAAGGUUGAUUAUACAUGGUUCAGUCGGAAAAAAUUCAUUGGUUAAUUUUAUAAAGUACGCUACUAGAUAUUACUCCAUAUUGCAUAGAAUCACGUAAAUCUAUUUCCUCAUCAGUGGUUAUCUGUUCUAUUGAAAAACAGCCAAAUAUACCAUUGGAGAAGAUAUACGAGAUAAGAAGAAAUCACCU
rnacentral:lncRNA from 1 species